UACGAAGGGGGCUAGCGUUGCUCGGAAUCACUGGGCGUAAAGGGUGCGUAGGCGGGUCUUUAAGUCAGGGGUGAAAUCCUGGAGCUCAACUCCAGAACUGCCUUUGAUACUGAAGAUCUUGAGUUCGGGAGAGGUGAGUGGAUCUGCGAGUGUAGAGGUGAAAUUCGUAGAUAUUCGCAAGAACACCAGUGGCGAAGGCGGCUCACUGGCCCGAUACUGACGCUGAGGCACGAAAGCGUGGGGAGCGAACAGG
rnacentral:rRNA from 1 species